rnacentral:lncRNA from 1 species
UUCCUCCGGCAGAUACUUUAUCCCAGCCAUUUAUAAUGCUGACCAUUUAUAAUGCUGACCAGACUCAAAGUAACUAAAACCAGCUGUAACCAGAGACAUGCACAGACUCAAGUGUCCAGUUAUGUACUCUGUUGGAUGAUAUGACCUUCAAAAUUAAUCUUUGGCCCGCUGAAUAUGGACUCCAACGGUGCCCUAGGGGAUGGUGGAGCCACCAGAUGGAAGGAGCCUGGUGAUCCCGAGAAGGAGAGAUGCCUCGCUGACCUGAACAUCUUUCCAGAACUGUUAAAUGAAGCCUGCAGGACACCAGCUGACAGUGGAAGGACUGAGGAAGGUUGUAUAAUUUUGUGCAAGGUCCACCACAAAUCCAGCUGAAGAACUGCUCCAAAGUUUAGGUCAUGGCAAGAACAAGACUGGAUCACUCCAUGUCAGUGGAAACAUGUCCACCAACUUCAUCAUUGUCUGUUGUCAUGGUUCACUUUAGAUGUAAACUUGACUGGAUUAAGGAUUCCCUAAAGUGUCAGGCCUCUGAGCCCAAGCUAAGCCAUCAUAUCCCCUGUGACCUGCAUGUACACAUCCAGAUGGCCGGUUCCUGCCUUAACUGACGACAUUCCACCACAAAAGAAGUGAAAAUGGCCUGUUCCUGCCUUAACUGAUGACAUUAUCUUGUGAAAUUCCUUCUCCUGGCUCAUCCUGGCUCCAAAGCUCCCCCACUGAGCACCUUGUGACCCCCACUCCUGCCCACCAGAGAACAACCCCCUUUGACUGUAAUUUUCCUUUACCUUCCCAAAUCUUAUAAAAUGGCCCCACCCCAUCUCCCUUUGCUGACUUUCUUUUCAGACUCAGCCCUCCUGCAACCAGUUGAUUAAAAGCUUUAUUGCUC